rnacentral:tRNA from 1 species
UGGGGCGUCGCCAAGUCGGUAAGGCACGGGAUUUUGAUUCCCGCAUUCCUAGGUUCGAGUCCUAGCGCCCCAGCCA